UACGUAGGGUGCAAGCGUUAAUCGGAAUUACUGGGCGUAAAGCGUGCGCAGGCGGUUGUGCAAGACAGAUGUGAAAUCCUCGGGCUCAACCUGGGAAUUGCAUUUGUGACUGCACGGCUAGAGUGUGUCAGAGGGGGGUAGAAUUCCACGUGUAGCAGUGAAAUGCGUAGAGAUGUGGAGGAAUACCGAUGGCGAAGGCAGCCCCCUGGGAUAACACUGACGCUCAUGCACGAAAGCGUGGGGAGCAAACAGG
rnacentral:rRNA from 1 species